UUAUGGCCACAGCACAUUGAAACACCAGUUCCCAUAUGAUCACCAAAGUUAAGCCACAUUAAACCUGGUCAUUAUGCAGAUGGGUGAAUGCUUGGGAAUAUCUGGUGCUGUAAG